rnacentral:ribozyme from 14 species
CGGAAGAAAAAACAACAAAACUAAAAAGAAAGAAAAGAGAAAGAAGCUGAUGCCUCAAGGUUGCGAGAAUGUUGAAUGCACAGUUGAUUUUAGUAAUGGUGUUUUUCCAACAUC